rnacentral:rRNA from 2 species
CGCGAAUAGCUCAUUACAACAGCCGUCGUUUCUUAGAUCUCCGAUUUACUUGGAUAACUGUGGUAAUUCUAGAGCUAAUACACACAUUCGAGCUCCGCCCGCAAGGAACGAGCGCAUUUAUUAGACUAAAACUAAUCUGCACUUGUGCAGCAAGUUUGGUGACUCUGAAUAACUCAGCUGAUCGCUUCGGUCUCGUACCGGCAACAUGUCUUUCAAGUGUCUGCCUUAUCAACUUUCGAUGGUAGUUUAUGUGACUACCAUGGUUGUAACGGAUAACGGAGAAUCAGGGUUCGACUCCAGAGAGGGAGCCUGAGAAACGGCUACCACUUCCAAGGAAGGCAGCAGGC